AAAUUGAGCUAAUAACGGUAUAUAUCGCUGAUAAUAAGUAUAUACAUGGUCAUAUACCUUAGUGUGAGUGUGAGUAUGUGUGUGUGUUUGGUGUGCAUAUGUGUAUGUGUUAAGAAAAAGUUACAUAAUAAAAUUGCAAACUACAAGUAAACCAUCAGAAAAUUCACACCAUAUUUGCAUGAAAGAAGUAAGAGCAGUAAUACUAUACUAGAGAAGAAAGAACCAUUAAGCAAAUCAAGCUAGCAAGAUGAAGAUAUCAAAUAUCGAAUAACGUAAGGAGAUCCGCCUUAAUGAUAAGUUGCAUCAAGCUUGUUAAUUUACAAGAAAACUCGAUGAAGAUGAAGCUCAUCAAUAAUAAUAAAAACAAGUACAAAUAAGAUAAAAAAUUAACAAGAAUUAUCACAAUUGCGUAUUUAGCAUACCCAAUUCAUCAAGAGAACAAACCCAUUCUUAUGCUUAAUUCUAUACAAAGUAAUAUGGAAUUUCGCCGAGGCAUAUCAGAUUAGAGGUGAGUUUGAGUGUGAGUGUGAGCAUGAGCGUGAGUAUGAGUGUGAGUGUGAGCGUGAGCAUGAGUGUGUGUGUGAGUGCGAGGUGUGAGUGUGAGUGCGAGUGCGAGUGCGAGUGUGAGUGUGUGUGUGAGUGCGAGUGUGUGUGUGUAUGUAUGAGUGUGAGUGUGAGUGUGAGUAUGAGAGCGUGUGUGUGUGUAAUAUAUAAAUCAACGUACGUAUACGUUAAUAAAGGUAUAAACUAAUAAUAAGUGUAUAGAUGGUCAUAUACAUCAAUGUAUAUAGAAAUAUAUAUACUAAUGCAUUCUACAUAUACAGUUAUGCACUUUAUACAUACACAAAAAUCCGUAUAUACACAUCGUAUAUAUAUAGACAUCACACACACACAUAUCAAUGUAUUUUUACACCCUAGAAAUUUU
rnacentral:lncRNA from 1 species